rnacentral:rRNA from 1 species
GACGAACGCUGGCGGCGUGCUUAACACAUGCAAGUCGAACGGAAAGGCCCUGCUUUUGUGGGGUGCUCGAGUGGCGAACGGGUGAGUAACACGUGAGUAACCUGCCCUUGACUUUGGGAUAACUUCAGGAAACUGGGGCUAAUACCGGAUAGGAGCUCCUGCUGCAUGGUGGGGGUUGGAAAGUUUCGGCGGUUUGGGAUGGACUCGCGGCUUAUCAGCUUGUUGGUGAGGUAGUGGCUUACCAAGGCUUUGACGGGUAGCCGGCCUGAGAGGGUGACCGGCCACAUUGGGCCUAAGGUACGGCGCAGAAUCCUACGGGAGGCAGAGGUGGGAAAUAUUGCACAAUGGGGGGGAGCCUGAUGCGACGACGCCGCGUGCGGGAUGACGGCCUUCGGGUUGUAAACCGCUUUCGACUGUAACGAAGCGUGAGUGACGGUAAUGGGUAAAGAAGCACCGGCUAACUACGUG